UGAAAUUAGCAAACCUCUAAGCAUGCCUUCAUUUUUCCAGUUAUCAGCCCUUAUUUUGAAGCUACCUACAGACUGCCAGCCAUCAGUCAAUCAAUAGUACACAAAAAGAUAUCACUUUGGAGAUUCUAAGGAUUUUAGGAUAUAUUUGGAUUAUUGUCCUAAUGAUGGCACAGAAGAAGGGGCAAGAAAACUCAGCAACUCUACAGAACUUUUGGUCAGCCAAGCAUGCUACUGCACAUCCCACUGAUGCACAUAUUGAUAUCAUGCCAGUUGGACCUGGAGAGCGAAGAGUAGCAAGUGCUCUGGAUGCCUGGAGAAAAUACAGAAGUGCCAGAAUACAACUGACCCUCCAAAUGGAGCUGAAGAAAAUGAAUUGUCCAGAAGGCAGACCACCAAAAAGAAAGAGACAAGAAAGAGCGAACCUGGGUAAUUCAUAAGCUGAAAGAUCAGAGGUAGGAAAACCAAGAAACAAAACAGAUGAACAAUAUAUAGCUUUCCAUUUUAUCUUCUUU
rnacentral:lncRNA from 13 species